ensembl:lncRNA
GGCACCCUAUUCCCUAUAUACAGUAUAGUGCACUACUUAGGCACCCUAUUCCCUAUAUACAGUAUAGUGCACUACUUAGGCACUCUAUUCCCUAUGUACAGUAUAGUGCACUACUUAGGCACCCUAUUCCCUAUGUACAGUAUAGUGCACUACUUAGGCACCCUAUUCCCUAUGUACAGUAUAGUGCACUACUUAGGCACCCUAUUCCCUAUAUACAGUUUAUUUUAAUGUAACUUUUAUUUAACUUGGUAAAUCAGUUAAGAAUACAUGAUUAUUUACAACAACGGUCUACACCGGCCAAACCGGGACGACGCCGGGCCAAUUGUUCGCCGCCCGGUGGGACUCCCAAUCACGGCCGGUUGCCAUACAGCCUGGAUUCGAACCGGGGUGUCUGUAGUGACGCCUCACGUGCCUUAGACCGCCGCGUCGCUCGGGAGCCCCUGGAUAUAGUUCACUACUUUGACCAGGACUAGUAGUUCACUAUAUAGGGAAUGGGACUCUGGUCUAAAGUAGUACCACUAUAUAGGGAAUAGGGCUCUGGUCUAUAGUAUACCACUAUAUAGGGAAUAGGGCUCUGGUCUAUAGUAGUACCACUAUAUAGGGAAUAGGGCUCUGGUCUAAAGUAGUACCACUAUAUAGGGAAUAGGGCUCUGAUCUAUAGUAGUGUACUAUAUAGGGAAUAGGACUCUGGUCUAUAGUAGUGUACUAUUUAGGGAAUAGGGCUCUGGUCUAUAGUAGUGUACUAUAUAGGGAACAGGGCUCUGGUCUAUAGUAGUGUACUAUAUAGGGAAUAGGCUCUGGUCUAUAGUAGUACCACUAUAUAGGGAACAGGUCUCUGGUCUAUAGUAGUACCACUAUAUAGGGAACAGGGUCUAUAAUAGUACCACUAUAUAGGGAACAGGGUCUAUAGUAGUACCACUAUAUAGGGAAUAGGGUCUAUAGUAGUACCACUAUAUAGGGAACAGGGUCUAUAGUAGUACCACUAUAUAGGGAACAGGGUCUAUAGUAGUACCACUAUACAGGGAACAGGUCUAACAGAGAGGAAGGGCUUCAACUAUGCACUUUACCUUCCAAAACAACAAAUAAACUGUAAUACCACAGCUUCCUGGUCCGCUGUCUGACUUCCUGUCUGUCUGUCUGACUUCCUGUCUGACUCCCAGUCUGUCUGUCUGACUUCCUGACUGACUCCAAGUCUGUCUGUCUGACUUCCUGACUGACUCCCAGUCUGUCCUUCUGACUCCAAGUCUGUCUGUGUGUCUGUCUGACUCCCAGUCUGUCUGUCUGACUCCAAGUCUGUCUGUGUGUCUACCUGACUCCCUGUGUGUCUGUCUGACUCCCAGUCUGUCUGUCUGACUCCAAGUCUGUCUGUGUGUCUACCUGACUCCCUGUGUGUCUGUCUGACUCCCAGUCUGUCUGUCUGACUCCAAGUCUGUCUGUGUGUCUGUCUGACUCCCAGUCUGUCUGUGUCUACCUGACUCCCUGUGUGUCUGUCUGACUCCCAGUCUGUCUGUGUCUACCUGACUCCCUGUGUGUCUGUCUGACUCCCAGUCUGUCUGUGUCUACCUGACUCCCUGUGUGUCUGUCUGACUCCCUGUCUGUCUGUCUGACUCCCAGGGUGUCAAUAGAUAAAGGUAUUGUGUGAACAAGGUUAACAACUCUCUGUCCUCUUCUCAAAUCCAACCUAAUCAUUCAUGUCCUAUUUGGCAAAGACAUUUAAAAGCACAUUUCAGUGAUACUGUGAU